UACAGAGGGUGCGAGCGUUAAUCGGAAUUACUGGGCGUAAAGCGUGCGUAGGCGGUUCGUUAAGUCUGCUGUGAAAGCCCCGGGCUCAACCUGGGAAUGGCAGUGGAUACUGGCGAGCUAGAGUGUGAUAGAGGAUGGUGGAAUUCCCGGUGUAGCGGUGAAAUGCGUAGAGAUCGGGAGGAACAUCAGUGGCGAAGGCGGCCAUCUGGAUCAACACUGACGCUGAGGCACGAAAGCGUGGGGAGCAAACAGG
rnacentral:rRNA from 1 species